GCCGCGACUCGUAGAUGGGGAACCAACAUAUUCGGUAAAUCGUAUUCUGGACUCGAGACGGAGGGGACGCGGAUUUCAGUACCUGGUGGACUGGGAGGGCUACGGUCCGGAGGAGAGAAGUUGGGUACCUGCUAGAGACAUCCUGGAUCACUCCCUUAUUGAUGAUUACAAUCGACAGAUCGUUGUGGUUGUGUUUCGGUGUGUUCCUGUGCUCGUGCCUCGUCUGUGACUCUUCUGGAUUUCGUCAGUACUUCGUGUUUCCUGGAUUUCAUCAGUUCCUCGUGUCUUCUGGAUGUUCCACUUCCCUGGGUUUCACUCGAGCACGUCUUCACCUGUCUUCACCACCGGAUCGCCAUCUCGUCCCUGCUUCACCCACCACCUGAGUGUUGUCCCCGAUCUGUGUCUUACAUUUGUCAUUUCUGACCAACCAAUAAACUGAGUUUAUUUGCA